rnacentral:rRNA from 1 species
UCCACGCCGUAAACGAUGUCUACUAGAUUGGUGGGAAUUCUGACAUUCUCGCAGUCGAAGCAAAAGUGUUAAGUAGACCGCCUGGGGAGUACGGUCGCAAGGCUAAAAACUCAAAGGAAUUGACGGGGGCUCACACAAGCGGUGGAGCAUGUGGCUUAAUUCGAAGCAACGCGAAGAACCUUAUCCUGGGUUUGACUAUCACGGAUGCCCCUUCCCGGAAAGGGAAGUAAGCU